rnacentral:rRNA from 1 species
CAGUAGCCGCGGGAAUACGUAGGGUGCAAGCGUUAAUCGGAAUUACUGGGCGUAAAGCGUGCGCAGGCGGUCCGCUAAGACAGAUGUGAAAUCCCCGGGCUUAACCUGGGAACUGCAUUUGUGACUGGCGGGCUAGAGUAUGGCAGAGGGGGGUAGAAUUCCACGUGUAGCAGUGAAAUGCGUAGAGAUGUGGAGGAAUACCGAUGGCGAAGGCAGCCCCCUGGGCCAAUACUGACGCUCAUGCACGAAAGCGUGGGGAGCAAACAGGAUUAGAUACCCGAGUAGUCCCUGUCUCUUAUAA